AGCGAACGCUGGCGGCAGGCUUAACACAUGCAAGUCGAGCGGGCAUCCUUGUGGUGUCAGCGGCAGACGGGUGAGUAACGCGUGGGAACGUGCCCUUCGGUUCGGAAUAACUCAGGGAAACUUGAGCUAAUACCGGAUACGUGCGAGAGCAGAAAGGUUUAUCUGCCGAAGGAUCGGCCCGCGUCUGAUUAGCUAGUUGGUGAGGUUACGGCUCACCAAGGCGACGAUCAGUAGCUGGUCUGAGAGGAUGAUCAGCCACACUGGGACUGAGACACGGCCCAGACUCCUACGGGAAGCAGCAGUGGGGAAUAUUGGACAAUGGGGGCAACCCUGAUCCAGCCAUGCUGCGUGAGUGAUGACGGCCUUAGGGUUGUAAAGCUCUUUUCUCCGGGACGAUAAUGACGGUACCGGAGGAAUAAGCCCCGGCUAACUUCGUG
rnacentral:rRNA from 1 species